UUUAGCCCAAAUCAACGCUUGCCUUUUCUUUUUCUCUAUUAUUAUCUAAAUCGGGUCGCCUCUCCGAGCUCCGGCGGCCGGCCGGCGAACGUGGCCGCUCCCAGACGUCGGCUGCUAGUACUAGGCAACCGACCGACACGUUUCCGACUGAACCGAAUCGAACCAAACCGACCGAGCCGUAACUUUUACUAGGUUGCUCCAGUCAGUCCCAAACCAGACCCACCCACCUUCCGCUGCCGGCGACCAGCUGCAGUGGAGCAGCUCAUCUGCGCCUCCCUCCCAUCUCCUUCCACCAACCAUCCCUCUCCGCGCGCCUUCCCGGCCGUCGAGGAUGCCGCGCGCUGGCGCGAGGUCCAGCCCGCCGGACUCUCCACUGGCUCAUCGUCAUCGCAGCGGAGCCGGGGCUCGCAACCACCAGGUUUCCGGCGCGUAUCCUCAAGCGCGCUGGCUCAUCUCUGUCUCCUCGCUGCUAUGCCAGCGACGUCCACGACCUCCUCUCCUCCCCGCACCUCCAGCUCCAAUGGCAGCAUGCCCGUCAUCUGCUCGAUGAAAUGUCUGUGCCCAGUCUACUCGAGGGCGAUGAACUCUUGUACAGCGGAAAAUAUCUGGAAGCAGCAACUCACUUACCGAAGCUCUGAAAAGAAUCCAAAUGAACCCGCAGUUUUUACAAACAGAGCUCAAGGUCACAUCUUUCUCAGAGCUCUGCCUGAAGGUCUGGAUGAUGUGGGAAAAUGUAUUGAGCUGGAUCCUACUUAUCUGGUGGGUUAUACGUGUUGAAGGUUCAAGCCCUGAUGCAGAAUUAUGAAAGUGCUAUGGCAACAUACAUAGAGGGUUUGAAGUGUGAUCCAAACAGUACCAUUGUAAUUGAUGGCUUUAAGAGGUAGCAUCCCAGUCUUCUGUUUGAACUUCUUGACGUUAUAAUGAACUAACAUUUGUUUUCAUUGGGCUGGAUGUGUGACAUGCAUUGAGAGGUCUAAAGGCGGUGACGUUGGGCCUGAGGAUUUAGAAGACAUUUUGAGAGAUUGACAUUCGGACAUUGAUUUGUGUAAGGAAGUUUCUGAUGAGCCCUUGAGGCGGAUUGAAUCUGAACGAGUGGCCAGGGUAUCAGAGGCAAACAAGGUCCAACGACAGGAAGAAACUGAGGAACAUCUUUCCAAGAUACAACAAGAGUUGCAACAAGUUAAAGCACGACAAAAUGAGGUCGCUGAUGAGCUACAGAAAGCUAAUAAGCAUAAUGAGCAUGUUCAGCAUCAGCUCUUGGAGUCCAAGAAUGGUCAUAGUGAGGAACUUUAGAGAGCCAAUGAGCAUAGUUUGAAUCUUCAACAUCAGCUCUAGGAAUCCAAAGAGCAGUAUAAUGAGCUUCAGUCCAAGCAUUACGACUUGCUAAGGAACAAGAUACUGCACUCAAAGAGGUAGGAGUAGAAAAGUUAUGCCGGAGAAGAAGUACGGUGAUGCCCUGCCAGUUUUCAUUAUCUGAACUGAAGUGAGCAACGGAAAAUUUCAUACUUCAUUUAAGUUCAGAGAAUCCGUGUUUGUCUCUGUGGUGUCCUCCGGAAGAUGACAGUUGUAAUAAAGGUCCCAAUCUCUAGUUAAAUCA